GUAGCGGCCGGCUGUAGGCGUGGACUGUCGAGUGGUGAAAGGCUGCUAGAUCUGCUGUUGUUUGCUGACCGGGCAGUCGUCGUUUUCACUGACUUUUCAGACAAGAGACAAGGUAACAUCUUGGCUGCGAACUUUUGGCGUUAGAAACCUCAAACUGAAAACGCAGGACCCCGAAGAACAGCACCUUUGACCAUGUGAAGUAAUCCCACGCGCCACCCACAGGCGGAAAUGAGUGGAGCAGCGGGAAAUUCAAAGCUCUGCCUGCCAUGAAUCGUUCCAGAUGACAAUCAUUUUCAUGCUUUCAAACAAAGGCUCCAGAAGGACCACGAAGAAGAGAACAAAGACAGAAGUUUAACAUCAAUAACAACAAGAAAAGAAGAAAAGAUAUUUAAGUAUUCUGCUCCCUUUUUUUUUGCUAUCUUAUCACAGCAUUUUAGUACUCCUGUUCACCUGAAAUUAGAAGGUUGUGGGUAGGUUGGGACAAGAAUUCAAAUGGCUACAGUAAAUAAGAAGGCUCAGUUCCACCCUAUACUUACAUCCCUCAAGAGUCAUCUGAGCUUUUAAAACUCUCUCUCUUUCUCAUCCCCCACCCUGUCUUUCAUGUUAACUUGAAGCCACAACUAGUAACUGUUAGCAAUAUUUAUUUCCACACUUGUUUCCCUAAAGCAUUGUUUUACAAAAUGGGUUCCAUGAGAUGUUCAUAGAUGCUCCACGGAAAAAGGUUCUGUGGUCAAAUGUUUGGGAAAUUUAUGGUUAUUACAAGUUAAACAGAUUUCUCUGCAACAGGUCUUCUCUUGCCCUUUAAUUUACCAGUGGACCUGGUCAGUCUCCAAAAGGAAGCAUAGUUUGUACCACAGAACCCUAUUUUUAUGGAAUCAUUGAGCCAGACUAGUGUUCUGAUUAAUACAGUAGAAGAAAUGCCACCCUUUGACGUAAGGGUUUGUCUUAAACUGGGAGCUCUUGUCAUCAGAGACAUAGACGUUUAGAACUACCUCAGUCACUUAGAUUGGUGUGCAACUCUUGACCACAUAGAGAAAACCUCACCAAGGAACUCUCCUAAACACUCAUACAACAAAUUUCAUUCUUCCUGUAGGCUGACAUCCAUGUACCCUGGAGUCUGAAAUGCCAAUUCUGCAGAAAGAGAUAGGCUAGAAAUAUAGCCUGGUGGAAAGGCAAAAGGGCCUGAACAGGCGCCAUGGCUUUAGGAAUAUGCAUCUCAGGACCUAUAUUGUGCAUUUCAUCUCUCAGCAGUUGCUUGCCAGAAGUGGAAAUGCCCUUGCCUCUUAGGGUGCUUUCACAGAGAAGCCCAAUUUUUCUAUUUACUCCCACCCACCACAACACAACGCCUUUUUAUUAUACACAGCUUUUGUUUACACUGUGUUCCCACUAAGAGAAUUCCUACUUAGUCUUCAAUCUCCGGCUACUGCAUGAAGACUGUUAAACUCUCUCAGUUCUCUGAAUACCCACACCACUUAAUGACUAUACCAGAGGUCAAUAAAGCAUGGUCCUCCUUCCAAAUACAGCCUGCCAUCUAUUUCUGUAGAUACAAUUUUAUUGGAACACAGCCACACCCAUUCAUUUAUGAUUGUCUAUAGUGGCUUUUUCUCUAAAAGGGCAGACUUGAGUAGUUGACCCAGAGACCAUAUAAAAUGCAAGCCUAAUAUAAUUACUAAUCUGUUCUUUAUAGAAAAAUUUGCCAAAUUCUGGUAUAUACCAUUUCUUUAGUACUUAUCAGAAGCUUCAUGUAGGGAUCAUACUUUGAUGUUUCUGUAUGUCUUC